rnacentral:tRNA from 1 species
GCCUUCGUGGCGUAGCUGGUUAUCGCGUGAGUCUCAUACAACAAAAAUCACCGUCAAGGUGCUGGUUUCGUAUGACCUAGCCAACAGGCCGGGACAUCUCAAGGUCAUGAGUUCGAACCUCAUCGAGGGCA